UCCCCGUGUUGCCUGAGCUUGAUGACC
rnacentral:piRNA from 1 species